rnacentral:rRNA from 1 species
ACGGAGGGUGCAAGCGUUAUCCGGAUUCACUGGGUUUAAAGGGUGCGUAGGUGGAUUAGUAAGUCAGUGGUGAAAUCUCUGGGCUUAACUCAGAAACUGCCAUUGAUACUAUUAGUCUUGAAUACCGUGGAGGUCAGCGGAAUAUGUCAUGUAGCGGUGAGAUGCUUAGAUAUGACAUAGAACACCAAUUGCGUAGGCAGCUUACUACACGAUCAUUGACGCUGAGGCACGAAAGCGUGGGGAGCGAACAGGA